UAGGGAAUCUUCCACAAUGGACGCAAGUCUGAUGGAGCAACGCCGCGUGAGUGAAGAAGGCUUUCGGGUCGUAAAACUCUGUUAUUGAAGAAGAACGUGUGUGACAGUAACUGGUCAUGCAGUGACGGUAUUCAAUCAGAAAGUCACGGCUAACUACGUGCCAGCAGCCGCGGUAAUACGUAGGUGGCAAGCGUUGUCCGGAUUUAUUGGGCGUAAAGCGAGUGCAGGCGGUCUUUUAAGUCUGAUGUGAAAGCCUUCGGCUUAACCGAAGAAGGGCAUCGGAAACUGGGAGACUUGAGUGCAGAAGAGGAGAGUGGAACUCCAUGUGUAGCGGUGAAAUGCGUAGAUAUAUGGAAGAAACACCAGUGGCGAAGGCGGCUCUCUGGUCUGUAACUGACGCUGAGGCUCGAAAGCGUGGGGUAGCAAAACA
rnacentral:rRNA from 1 species